AAUCAUAAUUUCACUGCAAGCUGUCUUCCUGAGCAACAAUCACUAAAUCAUUUAUAACUGGAGCUACGAAACUCCAAAUCAAGUUCCGUUAAUUUUCCUUGAAAAUAGACUCAUAUAUCUUCUAUCCAUAAAAUUUUCAGAAUUUUUGGUUUAUCCAAUCAAUACCAGAUUUUUCUCAAAGUUUCCCAUGUUUCACUGUUUGACUAAUCUGACCACUCUUCAUUACGAAUCAAAUUU
rnacentral:lncRNA from 1 species